GCUACAGGCUUAACACAUGCAAGUCGAGGGGCAUCAGGAAGAAAGCUUGCUUUCUUUGCUGGCGACCGGCGCACGGGUGAGUAACACGUAUCCAACCUGCCCUUUACUCGGGGAUAGCCUUUCGAAAGAAAGAUUAAUACCCGAUGGCAUAAUGAUUCCGCAUGGUUUCAUUAUUAAAGGAUUCCGGUAAAGGAUGGGGAUGCGUUCCAUUAGGUUGUUGGUGAGGUAACGGCUCACCAAGCCUUCGAUGGAUAGGGGUUCUGAGAGGAAGGUCCCCCACAUUGGAACUGAGACACGGUCCAAACUCCUACGGGAGGCAGCAGUGAGGAAUAUUGGUCAAUGGGCGCUAGCCUGAACCAGCCAAGUAGCGUGAAGGAUGAAGGCUCUAUGGGUCGUAAACUUCUUUUAUAUAAGAAUAAAGUGCAGUAUGUAUACUGUUUUGUAUGUAUUAUAUGAAUAAGGAUCGGCUAACUCCGUGCCAGCAGCCGCGGUAAUACGGAGGAUCCGAGCGUUAUCCGGAUUUAUUGGGUUUAAAGGGAGCGUAGGUGGACUGGUAAGUCAGUUGUGAAAGUUUGCGGCUCAACCGUAAAAUUGCAGUUGAUACUGUCAGUCUUGAGUACAGUAGAGGUGGGCGGAAUUCGUGGUGUAGCGGUGAAAUGCUUAGAUAUCACGAAGAACUCCGAUUGCGAAGGCAGCUCACUGGACUGCAACUGACACUGAUGCUCGAAAGUGUGGGUAUCAAACAGGAUUAGAUACCCUGGUAGUCCACACAGUAAACGAUGAAUACUCGCUGUUUGCGAUAUACAGUAAGCGGCCAAGCGAGAGCAUUAAGUAUUCCACCUGGGGAGUACGCCGGCAACGGUGAAACUCAAAGGAAUUGACGGGGGCCCGCACAAGCGGAGGAACAUGUGGUUUAAUUCGAUGAUACGCGAGGAACCUUACCCGGGCUUAAAUUGCAGUGGAAUGAUGUGGAAACAUGUCAGUGAGCAAUCACCGCUGUGAAGGUGCUGCAUGGUUGUCGUCAGCUCGUGCCGUGAGGUGUCGGCUUAAGUGCCAUAACGAGCGCAACCCUUAUCUUCAGUUACUAACAGGUCAUGCUGAGGACUCUGGAGAGACUGCCGUCGUAAGAUGUGAGGAAGGUGGGGAUGACGUCAAAUCAGCACGGCCCUUACGUCCGGGGCUACACACGUGUUACAAUGGGGGGUACAGAAGGCGGCUAGCGGGUGACCGUAUGCUAAUCCCAAAAUCCUCUCUCAGUUCGGAUCGAAGUCUGCAACCCGACUUCGUGAAGCUGGAUUCGCUAGUAAUCGCGCAUCAGCCACGGCGCGGUGAAUACGUUCCCGGGCCUUGUACACACCGCCCGUCAAGCCAUGGGAGCCGGGGGUACCUGAAGUACGUAACCGCAAGGAUCGUCCUAGGGUAAAACUGGUGACUGGGGCUAAGUCA
rnacentral:rRNA from 1 species